rnacentral:lncRNA from 1 species
AUUGAAAAGGUCUAGAAUAGAAGAUCAACCUAGUAGCAAUGUGUAUUCUUUGUCUCCAAAUUUUGGUUUUGAAAUACGAUUUUCCAAUAAAAAGAACCAAAGCUUCUCAGAGAAAAGGUUAGUUCCAGGUCAGAGCAAGAAAUAUUCAAAAUGAGCUUAAAACAUCUUGUUAUGCCCGAUAACAAACAUGACAGAUUUCAAAAAGUGGCUGCAAAAAUAUUUCCUAUUUCACAUACUUUUUUCCAAUGUGACCUUGCCAUCAAUAAGUGGACUUUUUCUCAGCCUUUUUUAAUCUGGGAGAGUUCUAUGACUGCUUUGAUGAAAAGAGUAUGGAGGAAAAGACCCUAUCCCAGUUCCAGCAGUAGAUCUUAACUGGUCUAGCAGCUUGCAUUUUAUACCUCUUAGAAUGUUUGCUCUUGGAAAAUUCUAUCUUGGAACCC